UUGGUUUGAUACGGGUGGUCGGCUCCCUGCUUGAGCAGGCACGGCCACGCGUGCAUUCCUUUUCAGAUGUGCGGCAAGGCUUGUAUCGUCUUGAUCGUAUAAGUGGGUUUCCUGUGUUGCAUACCUGAUCAACGGCAUCGUUUCGAUCAAAAGCGUACCUUUUUCRUCUAGUGUUGCACCCGCACCAUUGGAUGAACCGUGUAGCAUUCUCUUUGAUCCAUACAAUUGACAUUCAUUGUUAGUUGUUUGGCCCAUUGAGCGUGUCUUGGUCCCUUGAAUAUGGAAGCCAAAGUGGGCACGGGAUCGCAAGAUCCGUUUAGUGCCCUAAUUGAGCGUUUUCGCUUCUCUUACACGACUGCCUCUCACGUAUGGCACGUCCCAGCGUGUUUGGCUAUGUCGAAGAGGAAUGU
rnacentral:misc_RNA from 1 species